UCAUUCCUAUCCAUCUCCGUCUCUCUCUCUGUUGCGGCGAUUAAGCGUUUGAUGAAGAUAUCACCAGAUUGGUUCAGAUUUUCCUAUCUUCGGCUACUAUUGAUGGUGGUUAUCUGGUUAAGUUGGCCAUUCCGACCACUCGACAACCCUAAGGGUUUUCUUUCACCAGACGGCGAUGUAUUUUCCGGCAUAGUGACACAAGAUCGAUUCGACUUCUCGGUACCGUCUUUGUAACCUUAUUAGCAAAAUUUUAGGGUUUUUUUCUCCAGCGAUUCCGACAUUAGAUCUACUCUACUGGGUUCAACUUCUCGGUAUUACAAAACCCUGACAAGCAUUUUGAGGAAGCAAAAUCAGUUAUAGAUAGUGUUUUAGAAUUCCUGAACACUAACGAAAACUCUGAAGAUAAUAUGAAGGAGAAUGAAAACCCUCAAAAGAAUAGACUAGCUUUGGCCCGGAAGCAUGCUAAGUUAUCAAUGAAGGCUGAUACAAGAUUCCUUUUCAGACCAACAAAUCCUCUCUUGUUAUGAAAAAUGCCGAGCUAAUUCAGAACAAGACUUUGGAAGGCAUAAGUGAUAUCCGUGACGAGAGUGAUCGAUCUGGAAUGCGAAUAGUCAUUGAGCUUAAAAGGGGGGUCUGAUCCGGCCACUGUUCUGAAUAAUGUAUAUCGUUUCAUUGCUGCAACAUGGUUGGGUGAGUUGUUUUAUAAUUGUGUUUUUUUUUCAGUUAAACGUCAUAAAAUGUUUUUUUGUGCGUAUCUUUUGUUUUUUGCUUUUGCAAGAGGCGAAGAGUUGAUCGUGUUCUCUAUUUCAGUGAUAAGGGUAUUGUGUAUUCUGCACCAGCGUACAAAAUUCCGGAAUGUUCUCGUGCAGUUGCAGGUACACCUCUGAUACAGAACCCCAGUCCAAACGGCUUUGAGGCGAAGGGGCGUCACGCUUUCGGAUACCCUUUGUUGCUUAUUCGGGUUCGAAGUAGAAAAUGAGAUCAGCUCUUCGCCUCUUGCGUUCUCUCUUGCGCUAUUUGGUGGAUUGUUAUGGUCAGACCGAAUCCCUUUUCCCUCAGAAUUCAUACAAUGUGCUCUGUCGAAAUUUUGAUUCGGGAUUGGCAAAAUGUCGUCACUUGGAGAGGGUAAAAUUGUUGGCUUAUAGCCCUCUGGCAAUGGGUUUGCUUUCGGGAAAGUAUCUGU